rnacentral:rRNA from 1 species
GACAGAGGGUGCAAACGUUGCUCGGAAUCACUGGGCGUAAAGGGCGUGUAGGCGGGAAGGAAAGUCGGGCGUGAAAUCCCUGGGCUCAACCCAGGAACUGCACUCGAAACUUCUUUUCUUGAGUGCCGGAGAGGAAAGCGGAAUUCCUGGUGUAGAGGUGAAAUUCGUAGAUAUCAGGAGGAACACCAGUGGCGAAGGCGGCUUUCUGGACGGUAACUGACGCUGGAGACGCGAAAGCGUGGGGAGCAAACAGG